AUUGAACGCUGGCGGCAGGCCUAACACAUGCAAGUCGAGCGAGCGGCGGCCGGGUGAGUAAUGUCUGGGAAACUGCCUGAUGGAGGGGGAUAACUACUGGAAACGGUAGCUAAUACCGCAUACCAUCAGAUGUGCCCAGAUGGGAUUAGCUAGUAGGUGGGGUAAGGGCUCACCCAGGCGACGCUCCCUAGCUGGUCUGAGAGGAUGACCAGCCAACCUGGAACUGAGACACGGUCCAGACUCCUACGGGAGGCAGCAGUGGGGAAGAUUGCACAAUGGGCGCAAGCCGGAUGCAGCCAUGCCGCGUGUGUGAAGAAGGCCUUCGGGUUGUAAAGCACUUUCAGCGAGGAGGCGUUACUCGCAGAAGAAGCACCGGCUAACUCCGUGCCAGCAGCCGCGGUAAUAC
rnacentral:rRNA from 1 species